GUACUGAUGAAGAGUCCCAAACUAGGACGAAAUAGCAGUCCAGUAC
rnacentral:hammerhead_ribozyme from 1 species